rnacentral:rRNA from 1 species
UACAGAGGCCUCGAGCGUUAGGCGGAAUCACUGGGCUUAAAGCGUGUGUAGGUGGAUGCCUAAGUACCUUGUGAAAUCCCACAGCUUAACUGUGGAACUGCUUGGUAUACUGGGUGUCUUGAGCCACUCAGGGGCUACCGGAACAAACGGUGGAGCGGUGAAAUGCGUAGAUAUCGUUUGGAACGCCGACGGUGAAAACAGAUGACUGGGGACCUGCUGACGCUGAGACACGAAAGCCAGGGGAGCAAACGGG